rnacentral:rRNA from 1 species
GUGUCAGCAGCCGCGGUAAUACGGAGGAUGCAAGCGUUAUCCGGAUUCAUUGGGUUUAAAGGGUGCGCAGGCGGAAUAAUAAGUCAGUGGUGAAAUCUCCCGGCUCAACCGGGAAACUGCCAUUGAUACUGUUGUUCUUGAGUACAGUUGAAGUGGGCGGAAUGUGUCAUGUAGCGGUGAAAUGCUUAGAUAUGACACAGAACACCGAUAGCGAAGGCAGCUCACUAAGCUGUAACUGACGCUCAUGCACGAAAGCGUGGGGAUCAAACAGGAUUAGAAACCCGCGUAGUCC